UGAACUUAAUGAGGUAGUUUUGAAGUUAGAAUACUGUAGUUAACCUUCACACACUCACUCAUAUACACACACAAAUUAGACGAUUUUUUUUUCUUAUUGUUUAUUUUUUUCAUUCCUUAACUUUAGUCUAAACGAGUAUGUUAGUACACAAGACGAUUUUUUUCUUAUUGUUUAUUUUUUUUUCUUAACUUUAGUCUAAACGAGUAAGUUACUUUAUCGAUUGAUUUAUUUAACACCUUACAGUAUCGUGCAUUCAUAUAUACACAAUUAGGCGAAUUUAUCCUUAUUAGCUCUAUCAUCUUAAUUCUAAACCUUUCUCUUGUUCAAAUCGAUUCAGUUCAUUAUUCUAUCGAUCUAUUUAUUCAGCGUCUUAUAUCACAUUACAAUCGUACAUUCAUAUAUACACAAUUAGGCGAGUUUAUCCUUAUUAGCUCUAUCAUCUUAAUUCUAAACCUUUCUCUUGUUCAAAUCGAUUCAGUCCAUUAUUCCAUCGAUCUAUUUAUUCAGCGUCUUAUAUCACAUUACAUUAACGGCACAGAAAGCGACGAUUCCUCAAGCUAAUUGGUCUUAAUGCGUUCCUCCCCGGCAGGUGCUCUCGGGGGCUACACGGGGGUCUUCCUGGGCUGCUCCUUCGUCACCUUUCUCGAGUUCUUCGUCUACAUCUGCCUCGUGAUGGCCGUGUGGAUCAAGGACCUGAGGAAAUGGCUGCGGGGCGAGGUGCAUCCCGUAGCCAAGACCCGCGCGAGUGUCACAGACUGAGGCCAAUGCACGGAUAGGCUACCAAGGGAGGGUCACUUGUGGUUGGCCCCUCGCGAUGGUAGAGCGGGCGGAUUUUUAUAGUGACGUCGGUAUUAUAAUCUGAGUGCUAUGUAACCUAAAUGAUAUAUAUAUAUAUAUAUAUAUAUAUAUAUAUAUAUAUAUAUAUAUAUAUAUAUAUAUAUAUAUAUAUAUAUAUAUAUAUAUAUAUAUAUAUAUAUAUAUAUAUGAUAGGACACAAGGAGGGUCACUUGUGCUCGGCCCCUCGCGAUGGUAGAGCGGGCGGAUUUUUUUAUAGUGACGUCGGUAUUAUAAUCUGAGUGCUAUGUAACCUGAGCGACCAAUGACCAAUUCAAGGAUAGGCCACCAGGAGGAUCACUUGUGUUCGGCCCCUCGCGAUAGUGUAGCGAUCAGAUUUCUUUUUACAGUGGUGUUGGUAUUAUAAUCUGAGUGCUAUGUUAUCUGACCAAUUCACGGAUAGGCCACCAGGAGGAUCACUUGUGUUCGGCCCCUCGCGAUGGUUGUGCGGGCGUAUUUUUUUUACAAUAAGGUCGGUAUUAUAAUCUGAGUGCUAUGUAACCUUCUCCUGAGUGAUAUCUAUUCCACUAUACUAUCCCUUGAAUCUUCCAAAUGCUACUAUAUCAAUUAUCCUGCCGAGUCCCAUAGUAUAUUGGUAUCUUGGUUCGUUCUUAUGUGUUAUGGAUAGGGAUGGGUUUCUUUGUGACAUGGAAUAUGCUUGGAGUUGUCAGGCAAAGAAGAAAUAUUGGUUGACGUGCACUGAAUUCAUUCGUGUGUGUGUGUGUGUGUGUGUGUGUGUGUGUGUAAACAGUAACACCAGAAAGUUCAGAUACAGCCUUGAAAUUAUUAUAGAUACCCAGAAAAAGGAGGAAAAACCAACAAUAGGAACCGAAAACGUUUGAGCCGAAAGAGCUUAAGAAUACGGACCUUAGUAAGCUAGGGCCGCUUUCACAGUCGUCUGGGACGCACCCUAACCAAAGGUCCUACCGUAGCAGCCGUUACCAUCGCAUCGAUCCGCUUUCACACUCGCUGUUUUCGUGGUAUCGGCGACUACCAGCGUGGUGACGGUCAUGACAAGACUAAGGCGAGUGAUGCGGCAGUGUUGGUAUGCCGGAGCGGCGGGAAAAGUCAACAUUACAUCAGCUGAGCGGAGGAUUAUGAAGGAUAAAUGUGAAAAAUAAACGUACAAAGAGUAAACGUGAAGAAUAAAUAUAAAGAGUAACUGUGAAGAAUAAAUAUGAUGAAAAAAUGAGGAGUGUCUCGCUGAUACACCCCUCAAAUCUGUUGAUAGCCUAAUAUUUCCUAGGCGGAAAAGGUGAAAUAAUGGUGAGAAGUAUUAAUUAAAGGUCUCUUAUAUUAGCAGAUGUCAACAAGACAGACUCUUCACCUAUAUCAAUUACAUAUAUUCAUUAUUCACACUUAUUUAUCAGACUUCACAUUUAUUCUUUACUUAAUAGGGCUAAUUUCGUUAUAUAUAAGCCCUAUGCAUACAUGUUAGACUAACUAGAAUAAUACGAGUUUGACAAAGAAGGCAUAACAGGUGAAUAAUGGUGACAAGUAUUAAAGUCCUCCCUUCUUCUUUGUUGUUUACUCUUGCAACAAUAAACCAUCAAUCAAUCAAAUUGAAAUUCUCAGCAGGACAUUUACUGGUGAAGUGAGUUCGUGUCAUUCAAAUUCUUCUAAAUUUUUCUCAUAUUACCAUUGAAGCCGUGCAACAUGUUGCUGUAUUGUUUAAUAUUUUUUCACAUCUAUUUAAAGAAAUAAUAUAACCAAUUGAGAGCACGAAUUUGUAUAAUUUACUAAUUAAUGUCAUUGGUAAGCUCCAUUGGGGAGCCCCCGCGGGUACCAGAGCUCCGUUACCAGAGGUUCCAAUCUCUGGUACUGAUGCAAACAAACAGCGCCUCGAAGGACGACUGUGAAAGCGGAUUUCUUGUUGGUAGCGGCGAUCGCUGCUCAUUGCUAACGAUCAACACAAACAAACGUGACUGUGAAAGCGGCCCCUGGUGAGCGUGGCGGAUCACUAAUAAGAACAAAUACAAUGCAAGGACAGCGCGGUAAAUAUAAAUAUGUGAGAGUGUGUCCAGAAGGUUUUGAACAAAAUAACUUUAUACCGGAAUGUCUAAUGAUUUCCAAGGCACGUUUUUUUGUGGUGCGAGUGAAUAACAACAAUAACAAUGACAUGUACUACUACUACCGCUAAAGAUAAUACUAUGUCUACUACUACUGAUGCUACUUACACACUUUACUACUACUAUAACUAUGACUACUACUACUACUACUACUACUUCUACUACUGCUACUACUACAACUACUACUACUACAAUUACUACUACUACUGCCCUUCUACUAUUUCUGUUACUGUACCUCUUCUUUUUCUUCUUCUUCUUCUUCUUUUUCUUCUUCUUCGUCGUCGUCGUCGUCUUCUUUUUCUUCUUCUUCUUCGUCAUCGUCUUCUCCUUCCUCUUCUUCUUCUUCUUCUUCGUCGUCGUCGUCGUCUUCUUUUUCUUCUUCUUCUUCGUCGUCUUCUCCUUCUUCUUCUUCUUCUUCUUCUUCUUCGUCGUCGUCUUCUUUUUCUUCCUCUUCUUCGUCGUCGCCUUCUCCUUCUUCUUCUUUUUCUCCUUUUACCUUUUUUCUUCUUCCUUCCUUUCGCCUUUUUCUUAUUUCCUUUAUUUUCCUUUUAUCCUUCUUUUCCUUCGUGUCUUUUUCCUUUUCAUUUUUCUCUUCGUUUCCUUUUCUUCCUUUUCUUUGUCUUUUCCUUGAUCUUAUUCUUCUUUAAGACCAAAAAAAAAAAAAAAAAGCCUUGAACUUCAUUUUCCUCGUUUUCCUCAAAUAAAACAUUACCAAACAAACAAAAACUGUCACUUCGAACCUUCCUUCUCCUAUAUAUAUAUACCACCAACUAAAUCAUUCUUCUUCGAGCCAUAAGGCAAAAAAAAAUUUACAAAAGCAAAUGAGCAUCUAAAGUUCAGUUCCUGCCCUCCACUUCCGUAUUUUGAUAGUCGUGUAGAACUUGAUACCAAAACAAAUGAGCAUCUAAAGUUCGGUUCUUGCCCUCCACUUCCGUAUUUUGAUAGUCGUGUAGAACUUGAUACCAAAACAAAUGAGCAUCUAAAUUCGGUUCUUGCCCUCCACUUCCGUAUUUUGAUAGUCGUGUAGAACUUGAUACCAAAACAAAUGAGCAUCUAAAUUCGGUUCUUGCCCUCCACUUCCAUUUUGAUAGCCGUGUAGAACUUGAUACCAAAACAAAUGAGCAUCUAAAGUUCGGUUCUUGCCCUCCACUUCCGUAUUUUGAUAGCCGUGUAAAACUUGAUACCAAAACAAAUGAGCAUCUAAAUUCGGUUCUUGCCCUCCACUUCCAUUUUGAUAGCCGUGUAGAACUUGAUACCAAAACAAAUGAGCAUCUAAAGUUCAGUUCUGGUCUUCCACUUCCUCAUUUUGAUAGUCUCGUAGAACUUGAUACCAAAACAAUUGACAAUCUAAAGUCCAGUUCUGGUCCUCCACUUCCUCAUUUUGAUAGUCGUGUAGAACUUGAUACCAAAACAAUUGACAAUCUAAAGUCCAGUUCUGGUCUUCCACUUCCUCAUUUUGAUAGUCGUGUAGAACUUGAUACCAAAACAAUUGACAAUCUAAAGUCCAGUUCUGGUCUUCCACUUCCUCAUUUUGAUAGUCGUGUAGAACUUGAUACCAAAACAAUUGACAAUCUAAAGUCCAGUUCUGGCCCUCCACUUCCUCAUUUUGAUAGUCGUGUAGAACUUAACAGAAAUCAUAUGAGCAUCUAAAGUCCAGUUCCUGCCCUUCACUUCCUUAAUUUGAUAGCCGUGUAGAACUUAACAAAAACAAAUGAGCAUCUAAAGUUCGCUUCUGGCCCUCCACUUCCUCAUUUUGAUAGUCGUGUAGAACUUAACAGAAA